rnacentral:tRNA from 1 species
AGGCCCGUAGCUUAACCGGAAAAGCCCCGCUCUUAUAAAGCGGAAAGCACGCGCUCGAUAAGCGCGCGAUGGGGGUUCGAGUCCCCCCGGGCCUA